rnacentral:rRNA from 1 species
UGCGUAGGCGGAACUUUAAGUCAGUGGUGAAAUCCUGCGGCUCAACCGUAGAACUGCCAUUGAUACUGAAGUUCUUGAAUGCAGUUGAGGUAGGCGGAAUGUGUAAUGUAGCGGUGAAAUGCUUAGAUAUUACACAGAACACCGGUUGCGAAGGCAGCUUGCUAAACUGUGAUUGACGCUGAUGCACGAAAGCGUGGGGAGCGAACAGGAUUAGAUACCCUGGUAGUCC